UGAAUUUGACUUCCUAUUUGGUAACUGC
rnacentral:piRNA from 1 species